rnacentral:lncRNA from 1 species
CAGGACAGGACCAUGAGAACUCGGAAUCCUUUGCCCCAACCUCCAUCCGCCAAUUCUGGUGCUCAGGUGAGGGGACGGUCAUCCUAAUUAAAACCACGUGGUGGGGUUUCGGCUGUGGAAAAUUGCUGGAGCCUCUCUCCUUCCUCGCACCUCCUCUCUCCUUAAACACACACAUGCAACUUUCUCUCCCUUUAUUUAAGCAAACAACUGAGAGACCAUGAUCAAGUGCAGCCCCUUCUUAUCUAAAUAGUCCCCAGAUGUAUAAAGACACAGGAGCUUUUUGCUUCUAUUUGGAGCUUGUUCUGGGACCCAUCUUCUCCAAACCUACAAAAAGCAGCCUUCGUCGGCCUUCACUCACAGAACUCCUAAUGCCUGGUGCCCCAGUAAAUCAGCCCUGCUCAGCAGGCUGUCCUCAAUUUAUCAGAGGUGGGAUUUCCCCUCCCCAAACUUCAGUUUUUACCCCUUUUCUUGGCCUCUCCCAUAACCUGAGCUUGAAACUGCACAGAUGUGAACAAAUGGAACAUGAAAAGUUCCAAUUCUGUUGUCAGAUUCUGAUCUUACUUUAGCGGUCGAGAGCCUCGCUACUCAAAGUACACUCUGCAGACCAGCAGUGUCAGCCUCUCCCCUCACCCGGGAGCCCAGUGGAAAUGCAGAGCUCCAGCCCCACCUCAGACCUGCCCACUCAGAAUCUGCAUUUUACCAAGGCCUCCAGGAGAGCAUCUGUAUAAUUCCUUGAAGAGGUGUGGAUGCUACAGAGCUUGAGGGCAAGGCUGCUGUUCUUGGAGCUGCCAGUAUCACUUAGGCAC